AAAUCUUUAUCUGGAGAUCAUUCCUCUUGGAGCCCUUCUAUGAGCCCAGGGCACAGGCUCUAGAUCCAUGCCAUUUCAGCGCAAAGCUCUGAGUCACAGGUAGCUGUAUUGCUGCAAACUUGGGAAAUGAAUAACUAGUUGGGAGAGCUUCUGUGAUAUAUCUGAAUGCUGCCCUUUGUUGAUCAGGCUUUUGAUGCAAUGUGCACAUCAAGUUCUGGCCACCACCACCGAUUGCCAGACUCCUCAGGAGGCUGGUAUUAUUGACAGAAGAUUCUUCCAAUGGGACAGGAAGUUUUAUUUGUUUGAUGAAGGGGAAGAUACACAUGCAGAUGACAUUAGUUGAUUCUUGUGAAUCGAAAUUGUUUUGAUGAUAGUUUUUUUGCUGAUUUUCUAAGACAAGAAAGAAGGCAUAAUGCUUUGUUUAUUGAAUAAGACUAAAUUAAGCAUCUUGACUGCCUAGCAAGCAGCUGAUAACUUUAGAUUGUAGUCUCCUCUAUGUUAAUUGACACAGAUAUGAUUGACCAAGGCUGAAAUAUCAAAUCCUCUUGAAGUGAUUUAUGGUGCUAUUUAAAUGGUAUGCCUCCCUCUAUAGGAUCAGUUAUUUCUAAAUGUCAAGGCAUAUGUAGUCCUUUUGUGGUAAGUCACAGGAACAAGAUUUGUUUUUUUUUAUGUUGUUUACUAAUUAGACUUAGUUUACCACACAAUAGUCUUUACUCAUUGGUUAAACACUUCCCAUGUCAGUGUUCAACACUGUGCUUGAACUGUAUCUGUUUUCCUUUUUAUUUUUUUAAUUAAAUUGCUCCAUCUUUAACUUUGGGUGAUUAGCAGAACAAUUU
ensembl:lncRNA